GUGCUCUCAUGCUCGGCGUGAGUUUGUAGAGCUGAGCGGCUUGAUAUGGCUUGAGCUUCUCGUGUUUCCGUCGGGCUGCCUGGACCUAGAUUUUUAAACAAAAGAUUAUGUCCUACGGAAGUUACUGCUGCGUGGUCUGGUGUGCCAACAAUGGGAAAACAAAGAAGCCACAUGUCAAGUUUUUUCGAAUUCCACGUGACCCAAGGUCAAAAGCAUGGCUACAGUACGCCAGACGUCCUGAGCUCCUAGGAAAGACAGCCAAGGAGCUCUAUGAGGGGUAUCGCCUGUGUAGUGAGCAUUUCACAGCCAAGGACUUUUUGGAUCCUGGGAAGACAAGGCUGACCAAAACGGCUAUCCCUACGGUUCGGCCGCAAAUGCUUAGGCCAUCUGUAACAGCCCAAGAACCGGUGGCAACAACAUGCCCCUGUGACGUUCCAUUGGAGGG
rnacentral:lncRNA from 1 species